UACGUAGGGGGCCAGCGUUGCUCGGAAUUACUGGGCGUAAAGGGUUCGUAGGCGGUGUGGCAAGUCGGGCGUGAAAUCUCUGGGCUCAACUCAGAGGCUGCUUCCGAAACUGCCAUGCUUGAGUGCGGGAGAGGCGAGUGGAAUUACAGGUGUAGCGGUGAAAUGCGUAGAUAUCUGUAGGAACACCCGUGGCGAAGGCGGCUCGCUGGACCGCAACUGACGCUGAGGAACGAAAGCUAGGGGAGCAAACAGG
rnacentral:rRNA from 1 species